rnacentral:rRNA from 1 species
UACGGAGGGUGCAAGCGUUGUUCGGAAUCAUUGGGCGUAAAGCGCACGUAGGCGGUUCGUUAUGUCGGAUGUGAAAGCCCUUGGCUUAACCGAGGAAGUGCAUCCGAAACUGGCGAGCUAGAGUACUAAAGAGGAUCGCGGAAUUCCCGGUGUAGAGGUGAAAUUCGUAGAUAUCGGGAGGAACACCGGUGGCGAAGGCGGCGAUCUGGGUAGAUACUGACGCUGAGGUGCGAAAGCGUGGGGAGCAAACAGG